GUUCAAGCAUUGCACGUUAGACUAACCUGCAAUGAUUGAAACAAUUCAAGCUCAGACUUCUUGAAAGUCUGUCUCUAGCCUAAGGUACAAGAG